rnacentral:rRNA from 1 species
GGAACGUGGGGGAGUGUGGCCGUGGUAAUAAGGAGGUUCCAGGGGUUUUCGAGAAGCAUUGGGUUUAAAUGGUCCGUAGGCGGCCUUAGAAGUCAGCGGUGAAAUGUGUUGGCUUAACCAAAAAAUUGCCAUUGAUACUGUAGGGCUUGAGUUAUUGGGAAGUAACGAGAAUAUGUAGUGUAGCGGUGAAAUGCUUAGAGAUUAGAUGGAAUACCAAUUGCGAAGGCAGGUUACUAACAAUGGAUUGACGCUGAUGGACGAAAGCGUGGGUAGCGAACAGGAUUAGAUACCCUAGUAGUC